UUUUUCUUUUUCCGUGUUUAUAAAUGCAUUAUACAUUAAUACAAUUAACUCAAAAUAUUUCUUGACGACAUUCGAAUAGUUGUUGAAUGUCAAUCAAACAGUCAAAGUCAAUUCGACAUUUUGUUAUGUUUUGACACAUUUGAAAUUUGAGCUAUUUGUUUUAAUUUAAAAAGAAAAAAGAAAAUAGUUUUAUCAUGUUAAUAAACACUCUUUUUUAAGGGUAAUUAUAAUUAAGAUUUGUUACUAAGUUUUUCUGUAGAAAAAAUUAGAACAAAAUGUCUCAACAUAAAACUAAAUUAUUUAACAUUAUUUGUAAUAGGGGAUUUAAAAAUUUUGGACAUAAAAGACAACCACAAUCUCGGUUCACAACGCUUUGGCAUGGUUUUCUUACAUUCUCAUUUAUUGGUAUGGGAAUAGAAUGGAAAAGGAUAGCAAGAUUCCUUUAUGGUGAAAAUUCUGAGAAUGAAACUCCUCCAAUAGAAUAAAAAAAUAUUUUUGUACAGAAUAAUUAGUGUAAAAUGAUUAUGUCGUCCUAAAAUUGAUAAAAUAUAUUAAGUUAACACUGUUUUGUAUUAUAUAAUUAAUAUUACUAUAGUAGUUACAAGUUUGAUCAAACCGGCUUAUGAUUUUAUGAAUUGUUAUUGUUAACUAUUCAUGUUAGAAAAAUAGAUAGGCAUACUUACAUUUGAAAACAAGGGAUUCCUUAUAAAAUAUCUAAUUAUAUAUAGCUAAAAAUAAUAAUUUUUAUUUUAUUUCACAAAACAAUUCUCUGAAAUACACAUAAUUUUUUUCUAAACACCUUAUAUUGAUACACAUUGAGAGUCAAAGACAGGUUAAAAUUAAAAAAAAAUAUAUAACUAGAAUUCAUUAGGUAUUUGAAAGUUUAUUUCCAUUGUCCUGUAACCAGAAGGCUUGCUUUUCUAGACUGUUAUGCUUAUUCAGUUUUGGCUGAUAGAUUUUAAACGUAGCUAGAUGAUACAAGUCUUA
rnacentral:misc_RNA from 1 species